rnacentral:SRP_RNA from 1 species
GCCGGGUGCAAUGGUGCGUGCCUGUAGUCCCAGGCUGAGGCUGGAGGAUCUCUGGAGUCCAGGAGUUCUGGGCUGUAGCGCACUAUGCCGAUCAGGUGUCCGCACUAAGUUCAGCAUCAAUAUGGUGACCUCCCAGGAGUGAGGGACCACCAAGUUGCCUAAGGAGGGGUGAACCGGCCCAGGUCGGAAACGGAGCAGGUCAAAACUCCCGUGCUGAUCAGUAGUGGGAUUGCGCCUCUGAAUAGCCACUGCACUCCAUCCUGGGCAACAUAGCAAGACCCCGUCUCU